UGUUGCCACCAAAGCCGCUUUGUGAUUACCAUGGCAAGGUAAUCACAGGAGCAGAGGGCCGGAAGUUGGUUGAGUCCUUUUCUUUUUCCCCGCUGCUGGUCGGGACCUCUGUGUGGAUGCUGAGACUUUCCCUUGUGAGUGUCACCCAACAGAAAACACCAUGGGCCGGAGGAUCAAUCAUUCCUCCAAGAGAGCAAACCUAAGGCCAGUCCACUCCAUGACGAACUUCCCUGAAGGACAGCAUCUAAUCUAAUUUAUCUAAUUAGAUUAGAAUUUCUAGAUUUGAAGACUAAUAAAUUAUAUUAAUUAAUUAUUUUGAAGACUAAUAAAGAAAAUGUGCAUUGUCCCUUUUAAAAUAAAAUAAAUAAUAAAAAAGAAUAGGCAGUUAGAAAAUAAAAUAGUUUUAAAAUAAACUACGUAAAAUUUGUUGAGACCAGGAUAACAAUGCAUCCCCUAGCGAGAUAUAUAGUAAACGUUUUUAAGUAUUGAUUUUCAUUUCACCCCCUAUACCUCCUAAUAAAAGAAAACAAAAAAUGAAUAAAUAAAUAAAUAAAAUAAAAACUUUAGGACAUCUCAUUUUGUAACUGUUAACUGUUUCAAGAGUUGACCUGCAAUGACCCUUGCCCCCACCAGCCCCCUCUAAAGGGUUUAUCAACACUAUCAUUCAGAAGUUUGGGGUGAGUCAUUGUUUUAUUUCUUUUUUGGAAUAAAUGAAUUCUACUAAGCAAGUUGUGUGCCAACCGCCAAGAAAAACUCCAUGCUGGGCGUUCUAGGUGAUAUUUCUGUUGGAUUAGAAAUAAUACACAGAGAAGCAACACUCUCGCGUUCUGAACGCGGCCGCCAUUUUGAAUCGGACCCGCUGGUUUUCGGCAAAUAUCUCCGCGAAAACAGCACCAAAAACCAUGAACAAGGUACCGUUCUUUUCAGCAAGACGAGGCGUUUACAAAGAGCUAAGCAAACGACGGAUACAUCGUGUUUCCAGGCGUCGCGUCCAGGCCGAGCCAGAGGCCAGCUUUCAGCGCCUAACACACGGGAGUGUUUGUUUAGGGAGAAGUGGAAAUGAUUAGGAUGGGCUUGGUGGUGAGAAACAUACCUUCACUCCUUCCUGCAGCAUCUUCUGUUCCUCAGAGCUCCUCGAGAUGCUGAGAGCAAGCCACAUUUUGAGCCAGAAACGGAGCCAGCUGGAAACUGCUCUGUAUUUUCCAGGAUGCAGAGUGGGUGAGCAGGACUGAGCUGGGUGACAGUUUUACCAUGAUACAGACUGUUGAUUGCAUGGAGCCGAUUCACGUCACACAAGACACUGUGAACAUCUCGCUGGACGACGAGACACAAUUCUUGCAGAGUUUUUCCUACCUGAAUGAUCUCAGGCCUGAUUGUUGUGAAGCUUACCACCAUUGAUUUACAUUUAAUAACUCUUUGGUCUUUUUUCAUAGUGCUUGGAGUUGUGCCUAUACAGAUCCGUGUACCAUGUAUUUCCUACAUAAAUAAAUAAAAAUAAAAAAAGCAGGACAUCGUUCUCAUUUUGUAUAUUGACCAUAGGAUAUUGACACAUCUCAUAAAGUUGCUCCUUGUUUGUUAUAUUAGGCACCCUAAGGUGGCAGAGAUCAGUGUCAAAAUGUUUUCUAACUGUUCAAAGACACACUAACUUUAUUAACUUGAAUGUAUAUUUAACAUUUUUAUACUGGUAUUCAAUUUUUCCACCGCCUUUGUUCAUUUUGAGAAACAAGUUUAAUGAAUAUUAAAAUA